GAUGAACGCUGGCGGCGUGCUUAACACAUGCAAGUCGAACGAUGAAGCCCAGCUUGCUGGGUGGAUUAGUGGCGAACGGGUGAGUAACACGUGAGUAACCUGCCCCUGACUCUGGGAUAAGCCCGGGAAACUGGGUCUAAUACUGGAUAUGACCUGUCACCGCAUGGUGGUGGGUGGAAAGAUUUUUUGGUUGGGGAUGGACUCGCGGCCUAUCAGCUUGUUGGUGAGGUAGUGGCUCACCAAGGCGACGACGGGUAGCCGGCCUGAGAGGGUGACCGGCCACACUGGGACUGAGACACGGCCCAGACUCCUACGGGAGGCAGCAGUGGGGAAUAUUGCACAGUGGGCGCAAGCCUGAUGCAGCGACGCCGCGUGAGGGAUGACGGCCUUCGGGUUGUAAACCUCUUUCAGUAGGGAAGAAGCCUUUGGGUGACGGUACCUGCAGAAGAAGCGCCGGCUAACUACGUGCCAGCAGCCGCGGUAAUACGUAGGGCGCAAGCGUUAUCCGGAUUUAUUGGGCGUAAAGAGCUCGUAGGCGGUUUGUCGCGUCUGCCGUGAAAGUCCGGGGCUUAACUCCGGAUCUGCGGUGGGUACGGGCAGACUAGAGUGCAGUAGGGGAGACUGGAAUUCCUGGUGUAGCGGUGAAAUGCGCAGAUAUCAGGAGGAACACCGAUGGCGAAGGCAGGUCUCUGGGCUGUAACUGACGCUGAGGAGCGAAAGCAUGGGGAGCGAACAGGAUUAGAUACCCUGGUAGUCCAUGCCGUAAACGUUGGGCACUAGGUGUGGGGGACAUUCCACGUUUUCCGCGCCGUAGCUAACGCAUUAAGUGCCCCGCCUGGGGAGUACGGCCGCAAGGCUAAAACUCAAAGGAAUUGACGGGGGCCCGCACAAGCGGCGGAGCAUGCGGAUUAAUUCGAUGCAACGCGAAGAACCUUACCAAGGCUUGACAUGGACUGGAUCGCCGCAGAGAUGUGGUUUCCCUUCGGGGCUGGUUCACAGGUGGUGCAUGGUUGUCGUCAGCUCGUGUCGUGAGAUGUUGGGUUAAGUCCCGCAACGAGCGCAACCCUCGUUCCAUGUUGCCAGCGGGUUAUGCCGGGGACUCAUGGGAGACUGCCGGGGUCAACUCGGAGGAAGGUGAGGACGACGUCAAAUCAUCAUGCCCCUUAUGUCUUGGGCUUCACGCAUGCUACAAUGGCCGGUACAAAGGGUUGCGAUACUGUGAGGUGGAGCUAAUCCCAAAAAGCCGGUCUCAGUUCGGAUUGGGGUCUGCAACUCGACCCCAUGAAGUCGGAGUCGCUAGUAAUCGCAGAUCAGCAACGCUGCGGUGAAUACGUUCCCGGGCCUUGUACACACCGC
rnacentral:rRNA from 1 species